CGAGGCCUAAUAACCCAUUUGGGCAGCAGCCACCUAGUGCUCCUAGGCCUAAUAAUACACCAUUUGGGCAGCAGCAGCCACCUUUUGCUGGUGGACCAGCCAUUAGUCGUCCAGGACCUCCACCACCUGGUGUGUUUCCGAGAGGUCCUAGUGGCGGUCCUCCACACACUGGAUUGCCUCCUAAUGUAGCUUCUAGACCAACUGGCCCUCCUCAUGUGGCUCAAUCUGCUCCUCCCUUUGCAUCUCGGCCACCUCCUCCUGGUGCAAUGCCUCCUUCUAUUGGUGGUACAGCCCCGCCGUCUGCAUUGGGUCCUCGUCCAGGGCCUCCGGGUCCUUUUGCUUCUUCGCCAUUGACAACAGGUUUAGCUGUGCCGCCACCAUCAAGCAUUUCUAGUUCGGUUAGUAAUGGGCCACCUGCAGGUGGGCCGGGAAUGAUGCAGGGUGGAGGACGUUUUCCUCCUCCAAGCAAUACAAUGAGGCCACCAUUUGGAGCUUCUCCACCAGCUAUGGUUUCAUCUGGCACUCCUUCUCAGCCUCCGAGCAUGCGCUCACCCUUUGGCGGUCCAUCAUCUAUCAGCACAGCACCAGUUACAACACAACCGCCAACACCAUUUUCGGGAUCAUUGCAGAAUGUGCCACCUCCUUCGGGUUCCUCUCCAUUUGCAGCACCUGGUCAAGGCAUGCCUCCACCCAUGGGUGCCCUUUAUGGAACACAGUCGUGGCAAAUGCCACCCCAUCAGGUGAUUUUAUAUGCGUAUCUUACUGUACUUGUUUUGAAAGGUGAAAUUUAUGUAUUUUUCCAUAAAUAAAGGUAUGAUAGAGUCAUGUGAAUAUGCUAUUGAAGGGACAAAAAUAAUAGAGUUUUCUUCAGAUGCAUGGUGUUAAGAAUUUCCACUAAACUCAUUACCGGAGUAUAAUUUAUUUUAUGUGAUCUUUGAAGCUGUGAGAUAUGUUUAGUUCUUGCCUAUGAUAGACUACAAAAGAAGGAAGUCAUAGGAUAUAUAUCUCUUUAUCUGGACCGAAGUUUUUGGAUCAACAAGUCACACGAGAUGUGUCAAUAAUCAAAUUAUAUGCGUUUAAUGAUCUUUAGUAAUCAUCAAAAUCUAGCGUUAAAGAGAUGCUUCAUGACUGUAGGAUAGAAAGAAUCAAUAAUAUCCAGGAACUUGUGAUUUCUAGUUCAUUCAAAGAUAAUUAGAGAAGUCUUUUUAUGAAUUUGUAAUAAAAUGUACCACUAUUUUAAAUAAUUCUCAUUUUAGUAUUAUGUGCAUUAUGUUGCCAUUGCUUCUUUUUUCAUCUUUCCUUGAGCCGAGGGUUAAUCGUAAAUAACCUCUCUAUCUUCUCAAGGUAGGGAUGAGGUCCGCGUACACACUACCAUCUCCAGAUCCCACUUGUAGGAUUACACUGGGUUUUUUGUUGUUGUUGUUGUUGUUUGUGCAUUAUAAAUUUUCUUUUUAUCUUUUUUUUCCCAUAUAAAACUUUGAGUAAUUGCUAUUAAUAAAAUUACCUAUGUGAGAUACUUUAUCUUUUAACUUUUAACAUGUUGUUUGGAAUUCUUUCAUUAUUCAAAGUUAUUAAAUAAUAUUUUUUAUUAUUGUUUAUUUAUUUUUACUCCAUAAAUAGAAUUUGUUUUUAUUUAUAAGCUUUUAUAACUUUGCUUGGGAUACAGACGUUCUUGAAAAUUAUUAAAAAUUUCUUUUGAGUAUCAUUUGCUUAUUUAUCUAAAAUAAUUCAAAGCGUAAAUAAUGAAAUCCUUCUAUGAAUUUGUUAUCUAAUGUGCCACUAUUUUACAUAAUCAUUAUUUUAAUAUUAAGUAUAUAAGUAUUUAUGAAAAAUAAAAAUAAAAUCUUAAGUAUACAAGUUUGCUUAAGUUUGUCUGGACCAUCUGAAAAGGAUAACUGUCUUUCACAACUGAAGCUACAACAACCUAGCUAUCCCUUCGUAAUUAGAAGAAGAGGUAUAGCAACCUCACAAAAAAUUUACAUUUAAUUCAAAAACACCCUAAAGCACAUGGCACUUUUCCAAUAUAGUGUUUUCUUUAGUUUUUUUUUUUAUAAGAAGUGUUUUUUCCUUUGUUUUCUAUUGAAAUUCUAAAAUUCUGGGGAUAUUUUGGAUCAAGUAGAUUGGUUUCAGUUUGCUUUUAUUGUAUUUCCACAUUCAUGUGAAGUACAUAUUCUGAGUUUACUUAUUGACAGGGGCCUCCACCUUCUGCUAUUCCUGGUUCGAUGCAACCACCAAGUAUGUACGGAAUGGCGCCUCCUCUUCCAAAUCAGGCAGUGGCUUCGAUAACACCUUCUAUUGGUCAUACCAGUCCAUCAAAAGUUGAUCCCAAUCAAAUCCCGCGCCCAAUUCCAAAUGCCUCUAUAGUUCUGCAUGAAACCCGACAAGGCAACCAAGCCAA
rnacentral:lncRNA from 1 species